AUCUUGCUGUGAUGAUUUAUGAAAUAAAUUCACAUGUCAGACUUCAGAGAUUAUAUACUAUAAUCUAUGAGAAGAGUAUUUCAUGAUUCCUGAGCAGAAU